AAUCAACGCUGGCGGCGUGCCUAACACAUGCAAGUCGCACGAGAAAGGGCACCUUCGGGGGCCUGAGUAAAGUGGCGAACGGGUGAGUAACACGUGGGUGACCUGCCCUUUGGAGGGGGAUAACCCGGGGAAACCCGGGCUAAGACCGCAUAAGCCUUCGAGGUCAAACUCAAAGGGAAAAGGGUCUAGCUUUCGAGCUUGAUCCUGCCGAAGGAGGGGCCCGCGUCCCAUUAGCUAGUUGGUGGGGUAAAAGCCUACCAAGGCUACGAUGGGUAGCCGGUCUGAGAGGACGGACGGCCACACUGGAACUGAGACACGGUCCAGACUCCUNACGGGAGGCAGCAGUGGGGAAUUUUGGGCAAUGGGCGAAAGCCUGACCCAGCAACGCCGCGUGGAGGACGAAGGCCUUCGGGUCGUAAACUCCUGUCCUAGGGGAAGAAAAAAAUGACGGUACCCUUGGAGAAGCCCCGCUAACU
rnacentral:rRNA from 1 species